rnacentral:rRNA from 1 species
GACGAACGCUGGCGGCGUGCUUAACACAUGCAAGUCGAACGGAAAGGCCCUGCUUUUGUGUGGUGCUCGAGUGGCGAACGGGUGAGUAACACGUGAGUAACCUGGCCUGGACUUUGGGAUAACUUCAGGAAACUGGGGCUAAUACCUGAUAGGAGCGCCUGCUGCAUGGGGGGGGUUGGAAAGUUUCGGCGGUUGGGGAUGGACGCGCGGCUUAUCAGCUUGUGGGUUGGGUAGUGGCUUACCAAGGCGUUGGCGGGUAGCCGGCCUGAGAGGGUGACCGGCCACAUUGGGACUGAGAUACGGCCCAGACUCCUACGGGGGGCAGCAGUGGGGAAUCUUGCACAAUGGGCGGAAGCCUGAUGCAGAAACGCCGCGUGCGGGAUGACGGCCUUCGGGUUGUAAACCGCUUUCGCCUGUGACGAAGCGUGAGUGACGGUAAUGGGUAAAGAAGCACCGGCUAACUACGUG